UGUCUCCUUCUGUCCUGAUUUAGUAACUUAACUAUUUCCCUUGUUUUUAUUUAUUCACUUAGUUUUGGUCAGCUUAACGAUAUCUUAGAUAAUUUUAUUUGUUGGUUUUGGUUCUAUUGUUUCAUUUAUUUACACUUUAAUAUUUUUCUUUCUAUCAGAAUAGACUAAACCUCUACCACUUACCAUUUUUUAAAGUGUUCUUCUUAAACUAGGUGUGAUGCCCAUCAUCUGAACACGCAGGAGGCAGAGGUAGGAGCAGGUUCAAGGCCAGGCUGGGCACACAGUGAGUUCCUGGCCAGACAAAGCUACAUAGUGAGACUUUGUCACAAACACUGAAAAUGGAAAAAAAACAAAAAAACAAUAAAGUUAUUUUCUUCCCUUUUUUCUUCAGUUCUUCAAGACAAGUUUUCUCUGUGUAACAGCCCUGGCUGUUCUGGGACUGGCAUUGUAGACCAGGCUGUCCUCAAACUCACAGAGAUCCGCCUGCCUCUGUCUCUUGAGCACUGGGAUUAAAGGAAUGUACUGCUAUCUCUGGCAACAAUAGAGUUCUUCAUCUAUAGUAAUAACAUUUUUUCUUCAGAAAAGGAGAUUUAUUUAUUUAUUUAUUUAUUUAUUUAUGUAUAUGAGUUUUCUGUCUGUAUGGAUUUCUGCAUGUGGAAGAGGGCUUCAGGUCCUAUUACAGAUGGUCAUGAGCCACCAUGUGGUCCCUGGGACUUGAACUCAGGACCUCUGGAAGAGCAGCUUGUACUCUCAACUGCUGAGGCAUUUCUCCAGCCCCCAUAGUAAUGUUUUGGUCACUUGUACAGCCACUUAAUAAUAGACCCAUAUAUAUAUAAAGCAAAUAAUAGACAUAUAAUAUAUGUAUAUAUAUUAAGCAAAACCCAAUGCAGUUGAAGAGACAAGUGGGCAAGCCAACAAAAUUAGUUGGGAAUUUAUAAACCCCACUUUUUUUUUGAGACAGUGUCUUCCAUAGCUUAGAUUGACUUUAAACUUGCUGGGUUGCCAAGGAUAACCUUGAACUUCUGAUCCUCCUGCCUUUAUGUUCCUGGUACUGGGAAUACUGGUAUGUGCCAUAGGCUUGGCUUUAUGUGGUGAUGGGGGCUCUAAGCCAGGGCUUUGUGUUGGAGAAGUACUCUGCUAACCCUAAAUUUCACUUUUAAUAAUGGAUAGAGCAGGUAGGCAGAAGAUAUGCUGGGAUGUACAAGAUCUGAACAGAACUAUAGAUGCAACUGCGGAUGAACCUGUUCUUUUCUGCACUGGGAACAAACCUGGGAGCUUAGACACACGGGUGAAAUUCUAUACAACUGCAAAGAAAACAAAAUCAAGAAAGUUGCUGGUAAAUGGAUGGACAAAGAAAAAUUCCACUGAGGCUGAAUGUGAUUGCUGAAGACACUACGUACUUAGGACCAGGACUUGGAUUACUGGCUCUGGAUCUAAUCCGAAAGCCUUCUACGCAGGCUGCCAGGGGAGUGAAGCAGGCGCUAGUGCUUCCCACCCAGCUGCAGCACCUGUGAGCAGUGACCAUCAUAGCAGGGUGUGCCUGAAGAUGCAGUUAGGGCGCUCAGACGUUGGUGUCUAGUGGCUUAAGGCAUCGGGAAAUCGUCCUUGGUACUAGAGACCUAGCCAGCUUUCCCAGUGAGUGAGAUCAUGAACCUUAGAAAAGGAUUUGUCACUGCCACUUUCCUAGACCAGUAUAAUUUCUUUCUACGUUCUAAAUCUUACCCUAACACCCACAGUAUAAGGAGACACAUGUUAAUGAGCUACCACCCCUCAUCAGAAAAUCUUCUCUCUACAGCAAAUGGAGACCCCACACACUGGACACCACACAGAGAUGAACAACAGAUUGUGGGGAGCUCAGGCUCAAAAGAUACAUCGACAUCACAGUUCCUGCAUCUGUGGCAGGGGACCCGUGGAAGAGGGGACAGAAGGAUGAUAAGAGCCAGAACACCAAGAAGUCUGCUGUGAAAAGCCUCUCCUAGAAGUGGCUGCAGGAACAGGGCACGGCAAUGGCGAUAUCAGUGGACAUGUUAACACGGAAAGGAAAACAAAGAACUGAAGGCCACGUUAGUUGCAACACUGCCGGAGAGGGUGAGUCCCCUAAUGGUUAUCCAGUGCAGUGGUCAGCCCUGAAAACACACAAACAAACAUGGACUCAGCAGGUUGUAGUAAUAUUUGUGCAUACACACAUGCAUGUAUGCAUAUGUAUGUGUGUAACACUAAUGCAGAGAAAGAGACUUAUAGAUACAUAUAUGCAUAUAUGUAUACAUACCUUAUAUAUAAUGUAUAUACUUAAUAUCUAACAUAUGAUGCAUACAUGUAUAUAUAAUAUAAUAUAUAAUGUAUAUAUACAUAUAUGCAUAUAUGUAUCUAUAAGUCUCUUUCUCUGCAUUAAUGUUACACACACACACACACACACACACACACACAUAUAUAUAAUUUGAGGGAGGUAUGGACAAGGUUGGGAGGAGCUGGAGGGAGAAAAGAGAAGGGAAAGUUUUAUAUACAUAUAUAUUAAAAAUGAACAAAGCAAAGCCAUUAAAUUUGAAGAAACACUUUCUUCCGCAUGCAUGUGUGCACCACUUGCAUGGCUGCCGGCUGUGGUGGCCAGAAGAGGCCGUUAGAACCUCUGAGACCGGAGUUCGGAUGGUUGUGAGCAGCUCUGUGGGAGCUGGGAAUCAAGCCCCGGUCCCUGGACGAGCAGCCAGUGCUCUUACCAGCUGGCAUCUCCCAGCCCCACACCCCAGAUCAUAAUGAUUCUUUCAUGUACGAUUUCUGGAACAUAGAAGUCUAUAGGGAGACACUGGGUUAGUGGCUGACGGCCCCGGCAUGGGGAGGGCGCGGAAAGGGGAGCGGCUGCUGUGUGCAGAGCUUAAUUUUGGCAUCAUGAAAAAAUUUCCAGAAUCGAUUAGUGGUUGUAUAACCUGUGAAUCACCUAAACCCACUGAAUUCAACAUGUUUAGGGAAGGGGUUUUAUGGUCCUUGUAUUAUGCCUCAAUAAAAUGGUAAAAA